AAAGAAGUCUCAUCCAUUGUUCAUUAAAACUGAGAAGAACAGAAAUUAUUGAAUAAUCUGGAAAAAUUCUUCGAGCUACAGUAUUUUGCAAAAUAAAAUUAAGAUCUUGAAGAAAUGGUUAUGGAUUUGGGUAAGAUACCAACUGGGGAGUGUUCGGAAUGAGAAGGGGUUUUGACACCACGUUUGCUACAAUCCACCGCCGGAUU
rnacentral:lncRNA from 1 species